rnacentral:rRNA from 1 species
GUCUUUUUGAUUAUAAUUUAAAGUCUAAUCUGCCCACUGAUAAAUAUUAAAGGGCUGCAGUAUAUUGACUGUACAAAGGUAGCGUAAUCAUUAGUUUUUUAAUUGAAAACUUGUAUGAAAGAUUUGAUGAAAUAUAAACUGUCUCUUAAUUAUUAUUAAAAAUUUAUUUUUUAGUUAAAAAGCUAAAAUAAUUUUAAAAGACGAGAAGACCCUAUAGAGUUUUAUAUUUUAUUUGAUGUAAAAAUUAUAUAAAAAUUAAAAUUAAUAUUGAUUGAAAUAUUGUAUUGGGGUGAUAGAAAAAUUAAAAUAACUUUUUUUAAAAAUUAACCAUAAAUAAGUGAAUAAAUGAUCCAUAAAUAAUGAUUAUAAGAAAAAAUUACCUUAGGGAUAACAGCGUAAUAUUUUUUUUUAGUUCAAAUAAAAAAAAAAGUUUGCGACCUCGAUGUUGGAUUAAGAUAAAAUUUAAAUGUAAACGUUUAAAAUUUUGAUCUGUUCGAUCAUUAAAAUCUU